GCUGGCGGCGUGCCUAACACAUGCAAGUCGUACGCCCUUCGAGCAAUCGGAGGGAGUGGCGGACGGGUGAGUAACACGUGGGUGCACCUACCCCCAGGUGAGGAAUACCAUCGAGAAAUCGGUGACAAGACCGCAUAUCUUUCUUCACGGAAAGAAAGCUCCGCAAGGGGCGCCUGAGGAUGGGCCCGCGUCCGAUUAGCUAGUUGGUGGGGUAAAAGCCUACCAAGGCGACGAUCGGUAGCUGGUCUGAGAGGACGAUCAGCCACACUGGGAUUGAGAACGGCCCAGACUCCUACGGGGGGCAGCAGUGAGGAAUUUUCGUCAAUGGGGGAAACCCUGAACGAGCAACGCCGCGUGCUGGAUGAAGGUCUUCGGAUCGUAAACAGCUUUUCUCUGGGAAGAGAGAGGACGGUACCAGAGGAAUCAGCCCCGGCUAACUACGUGCCAGCAGCCGCGGUAAUACGUAGGGGGCGAGCGUUGUCCGGAGUUACUGGGCGUAAAGCGUNCGCAGGCGGUCGGUCAAGUUUGGAGUGACAGUUCCCGGCUUAACUGGGAAAGCGCUUCGAAAACUGGUCGACUUGAGGGGCUUCAGAGGGACACGGAAUUCCGGGUGUAUGGUGAAAUGCGUA
rnacentral:rRNA from 1 species